rnacentral:ncRNA from 1 species
UUUGGCACCUCAAAUCGGGGUCUUAUUUUGGCAACAAGAUAAUGCUAUUUGGCUGUAUGCUGGAACAUCCGGGGUAUCUAAAAUCAUAUGCUCAUAAUAAAUUUUAAAGAGCAUAUAAAAGUAUUUUAGUGCGGACAAUCAGCAGGGAAGUUGAUUCUAUCGAGUUUAACCCCUCAACGACUACACGCCGAACAUCUUAUUAUAAUAAUGAGAUGAUGAUAUAGUCUGAUCUUUUAGGCGACUAAAAG